UACUCAAAGGAAGUGAUGAAAUUAGGUAAAUUGCUCUUUGAGCUUCUGUCAGAAGCUCUAGGGUUAAACACUAGUCACCUCAAGGACAUGGAUUCAGUGCCGGCCCGGAGGACAUGCCACCCAAGCCACCGCUUGGGGCACCACUUUUUUUUUUUUUUUUUUAAGGUUUUUCUUUUUUUUUUUUGGAAAAAAGGCCCAAUUUUAGAAAAAAAAAAAGAAUUAAGCCUAUAAAAUGAAAAUAUUUGGUAGAAACUAAAGCCUUUUCGAAAAAAAUAAAUAAAAUAGGGCCCAAACAAUUAAAUUUGAAUGUAAUAAUAUUCAAAAUAUCAUUAUUUUGUAUAAUUUACUAAAAAUAGGUCAAAAAAAAUUUUUUAACCCUAAAACUUAUAAAUAUAUUGGGCCUCAUUUUAUUUUUCGUGUAGGGCCUCACAAAUGCUCGGACCGGCACUGCAUGGAUUGCACCAACUCCUUGCUGUUGCUCGGCCAUUAUUACCCGCCAUGUCCCCAACCCGACCUUACUUUAGGUUUGACCAAACACUUCGACAACUCUUUUCUCACUAUUCUUCUUCAAGACCAUAUCGGAGGGCUUCAAGUUCUCCAUGACCAAUAUUGGGUUGAUGUUCCUCCUGUUCCCGGAGCUCUUGUUGUUAACGUUGGAGAUCUUCUUCAGGUUAACUAACUAAUUAACCCUUUUGGUUUAUUUAUCAGUGGAGUUAAUCUAUGGACUAAGUUUGAUUAAUUAUAAUGGGGCAUAUAACAAACGACAAGUUCAAAAGUGUGGAGCAUAGGGUUUUGGCGAAUGUAGCUGGACCAAGAAUUUCAGUGGCUUGUUUCUUCAGUUCGUAUUUGAUGGCGAAUCCUCGAGUUUAUGGACCCAUCAAAGAUAUUUUGUCAGAACAAAAUCUGUAAAUGCAAGAGCUACUAAGUUUUGAAUUAGUUCACGAUGUAACUCUGAAUUUCUCAAAAACUCUUUCGAUUAAUAGAAAAUAUGUUUACAAGGUUUCUCCUUUAACACUAUUUUCUAUUCUCACUAAGUCUUGUUCUUUAAUCACAGACCGAUUAAGAACAAUAACUCUCCUUAAAACCCUUAGCUCUCUUUAAGCCUCUAGUUCUCUAUUUCUCUCAAACUAAGACUUAAUAGCUAGGAAUUCUCUCUAGUGAUUGUGCUAAGCUUUCUGCAAGCCUUAGCACUCCUACUUAUACUAAAUAGGUUGAGACCAUACAACAGGUCGAUUUCCAAUUCUAAAACUAAUUGGAAUGGACAAUUUCCUUUUUCUUUAUGGAAUAGGAAAUUGUCCUUUGUCUUCAUGUUUUCCUUUUCUUCUUGUAAAAGGAAACUCUUCAGUCUUCUAGAAUCUUCUCUAAGCUUCUAGUCUUCACUUCAAACCGCCAAAACAAGAUUCUGCAUAUUUCCUUAAUCUUGUUCAUGUUGCUCUGUUCUCUAGAGUUACUUCUUGUCUUAGUUCAGGUACUCCUUCAGAGGCUGCAUCUUCAAAAUCCUCCCAAAUAUAGAGACACCACCAUUACGGAGUAUGCAAAGUUCUACAGAUCCAAAGGAUUCGAUGGUACCUCUGGAUUACUCUAUCUCAAGAUCUGAGAAUAUCACUUGUCUAAUAAAGGUGCUUGGGACUUUGAUUUCCUCGCUGUAAUAACUUCUUCUUUAAUAUAUCUCUGUCAAAGCCACUGGGCUAGAACUGUCACAGGCCGUUGUUUUUUCUAUCAUGUAGAGUCACUUAAAAGGAUUCUUCGAAGUUUUAAAAAGGUUUAUCUCCUGGUUAAUUAGAAAAUCAAUAUUCGUUCUAGACAGAUGUGUCAUAUGUGAUUGCUAUUUGUUUUAACCUGAAUGAAUAUAACUUACUAAAUUUCUAAAGCCAUAAAAGCAAUAUUGCUACAACUUCAAUUUGUAAAGAUAAGAAAAAAAUCAUGCAGUUUUGAAAUCAAGUGUUCCUAUUUAAUAUAUUUUCUAGAAUAAUUUGAGGUAACAUGAUUAUUUGAUAGUUCUUGUGAUUGAAAUUUGUAAUUUUUUACAUUGUUUCUCUCUUGCAUUAACUGGUUUUUGAGAUACAUAAGAAAAUUAAUGUUUUGACUUUCUUACCCAAGAUGACAUGUUCAAAGAUGCACAUGUAUACAUCAUAGUAAAAUGCAAAGUAACCUAUCUUAUCAUUUGUAUAAUAAAAUGCUUGUGAUAUAUAUACCUUUUUUUCUAUCAACUUUAUCUCUUAUCAAUGGUCCCAUCUUGGAACACAAGAAACACGAGUAAUAUAUACCUUUUGUUUUGUGGGUUAGGUAAAGUGUCGGUGGGUGCUUAUGUUAUAUAUGAUUGUAUCAGAUUGCUCUAUCUGUCUUUAUGAGAGACAAAAACGAUGGAGACGAAGAAGAUUGCUUCAUUUGAUCGUGCCAGUGAGCUUAAAGCUUUCGAUGAGAGCAAGACUGGUGUGAAAGGACUCGUUGACGCUGGAAUCUCACAGAUUCCACGCAUUUUUCAUCACUCAUCUGUCGAACUAGCAGACCCUAAACCACUUCCCUCGGAGUUGCUACAUCUAAAGACGAUCCCAACGAUCAAUCUCGGAGGACGGGUCUUCGAGGACGCGAUUAAGCACAAGAACGCGAUUGAAGGGAUUAGAGAAGCGGCUGCGAAGUGGGGUUUCUUCCAAGUGAUUAACCAUGGAGUUUCGCUCGAUCUUCUUGAGAAGAUGAAAGAUGGAGUUCGUGACUUUCAUGAGCAACCCCCUGAAGUGAGGAAAGAAUUGUAUAGCCGCGAUUUCAACAGAAAGUUUAUGUAUUUAAGUAACUUCGAUCUCUACAGUGCUCCAGCUGCAAAUUGGAGAGACACAUUCUAUUGUUACAUGGCUCCAGAUCCUCCAAAACCAGAGGAUCUGCCAGAGAUUUGUAGGUAUGAGCCUUGGACCUUGGUCAAAGUUCCAACAAAUCUCUUAUUUGCCUUAGUUUAUGCAAACACCCUCUUAGACACAUUCAAACCAUGCUUUUGGAAAAGCUUUUGUGAAUACGUAAGCAACUUUGGUCGUUUUAAUUGUGCAGUAAAUCAACUUUAAUAUCUCUAUCCUUUCAGGGAUGUUAUGAUGGAAUACUCAAAGCAAGUGAUGAUUUUGGGUGAAUUUCUCUUUGAGCUUUUGUCAGAAGCUCUAGGGCUGAACCCUAAUCACCUCAAGGACAUGGAUUGCCUAAAGGGUUUGCGCAUGCUUUGCCAUUACUUCCCACCGUGUCCAGAGCCUGACCUAACUUUUGGCACAAGUCCGCACUCCGACAGCUCUUUUCUUACCAUCCUCCUUCCAGAUCAGAUCAAAGGGCUUCAGGUUCUUCGUGAAGGGUACUGGUUCGAUGUUCCUCAUGUUCCAGGCGCUCUCAUCAUCAACAUCGGAGAUCUUUUACAGGCAUGUUUACCAAUGCUUUCUUUUCCUCAGUUUUGCAUUCUAUAGAUAAUCUUCCCUUUAACUCAAAGUUUCUUUUGGGGGUUUGUGAUUUUGAUGCAGCUUAUAACAAACGACAAAUUCAUCAGUUUGGGGCAUCGAGUAUUGGCGAACAGAGCCACAAGAGCUCGAGUCUCUGUCGCAUGUUUCUUCACCACCCAUGUAAAACCCAAUCCUAGAGUGUAUGGACCCAUUAAAGAGCUUGUGUCCGAAGAAAACCCUCCAAAGUACAGAGAGACCACCAUUACAAACUACGCUACUUACUUCAAUGGCAAAGGACUUGGCGGAACCUCUGCUUUGCUCCAUUUUAAAGUAUGAAACAUGGCGAGCUACUACUUUCUCAAACAUAUACGACAUGACAGUAUAUGUAACAUGUUGGAAUUAUGUGAACCAAAUGUGGAAUUUAUGGAUUAUACUACAUUGUCAUUUCAGUUUGGUCCAUAUAAGGUGCAAUCGGAUAUGGUUAAUCGAUUAGAUGUCAAUAUUGGAUAUGAACAAGUUGGUUAUAUGCAUAUACACUAGAUUGGAUGGGUUGAAUUAUUAGAUGACAAUAUUUAAGAUUGGUUAAAUAAUGGUUCACUGGUUGGUUAAGUAAUGGUCUCUAGAUAUGUUUGCAUGUUUUCAUGAUUUGGUGUUAGUUCACUGUAAUUCAUGGAUUUAAAGGUCUUGGGAUUUUUUCAAGCAUGCAUAAGAUUAGUUGACGUUUUUUGCUUUAUCAUAAAAUCAUAAGGUUUUUGAAUCAUAUAUCAUGCAUGUUUCUGGAUUAAAAAUCACAAGAAAGCAUGUUUUUUUUGAAAAUAAAUUUAGUCUUUAAAGACCAUUUGUUGAAAACAAUAAAAGUUCCGUACUUAAUUCAAUUUCAAGAUAGUUAGGCGUAGAAUACAAGAAAGAAAACAAUUUUUUUGAAAGACAAGUGUUGUUUUCUUGUCUGAACAAAACCAACCCAAAUAUAGAGAGACACCACCAUUACUCCAUUACAGAGAAUGCAAACUUCGUUUUAUAUAUAUAUAUAUACUGUAUCAUUUUGACUAAUAAAGUUGCGUGGGAGAUUGAUUCUCUUAAUUCUGUAAUAACUUGUUGUUGACUAAAAGACUUGUCUGGUCCGCUCACUGCCACAAGCGGUUGUUUUUGUCUAUAAACCUUAUCUCUUACCAAUGGUUUUGCUGUAGCAACCGGUCACAUCUUUGAACUUAAGAAAAAUGUUUCAUUCUUGUUUUUAUAGAUUUUUAUGUUAUGCCUGAUUGUAUCAUAUUGUUCUGUUCUUCGAGAAACUAAAACUAUGGAGACGACGAAGAUUGCUUCUUCAUUCGAUCGUGCCAGUGAGCUCAAAGCUUUUGAUGAGACAAAAACGGGUGUGAAAGGACUCGUCGACUCCGGAAUUUCACAGAUUCCACGCAUCUUCCAUCACUCAUCUGUCAAACUAGAGAACCCUAAGCCACUUUCCUCGGACUUGCUACAUCUCAAGACGAUCCCAACGAUCGAUCUUGGAGGACGGGUUUUCGAGGAUGCGAGUAAGCGCAAGAACGCGGUUGAAAGAAUUAAAGAAGCAUCAGAGAAGUGGGGUUUCUUCCAGGUAAUUAACCAUGGAGUUCCACUUGAUCUUCUUGAGAAGAUGAAAGAUGGAGUUCGUGGGUUUCACGAGCAAUCCCCUGAAGUGAGGAAAGAUUUCUACAGUCGCGAUUUAACUAGAAAGUUUCAGUAUUCAAGUAAUUUCGAUCUCUAUAGUUCUCCAGCUGCAAACUGGAGAGACACGGUUGCUUGUACCAUGGCUCCAGAUCCUCCGAAUCCACAAGAUAUUCCAGAGAUUUGUAGGUAUGACUCCAUUGCUUUAACUUUAUUUGAUGUGUAAUCUCUAUUCAUAUAUGGUGAAUUGUUUCAGGGAUGUCACGAUGGAAUAUUCAGAGCAAGUGAUGAAUUUGGGUGAAUUUCUCUUUACGCUUUUAUCAGAAGCUCUAGGGUUGAACCCUAAUCACCUCAAUGACAUGGAUUGCUCUAAGGGUUUGGUCAUGCUUUGCCAUUACUACCCACCAUGUCCAGAGCCUGACCUAACUUUAGGCACAAGUCAGCACGCCGACAAUACUUUUCUUACCGUUCUUCUUCCAGAUCAGAUCGAAGGGCUUCAG
rnacentral:lncRNA from 1 species